rnacentral:rRNA from 1 species
AGUGAACGCUGGCGGUAGGCCUAACACAUGCAAGUCGAACGGCAGCACAGUAAGAUCUUGCUCUUACGGGUGGCGAGUGGCGGACGGGUGAGGAAUACAUCGGAAUCUACUUUUUCGUGGGGGAUAACGUAGGGAAACUUACGCUAAUACCGCAUACGACCUACGGGUGAAAGCAGGGGAUCUUCGGACCUUGCGCGAUUGAAUUAGCCGAUGUCGGAUUAGCUAGUUGGCUGGGUAAAGUCCCACCAAGGCGACGAUCCGUAGCUGGUCUGAGAGGAUGAUCGGCCACACUGGAACUGAGACACGGUCCAGACUCCUACGGGAGGCAGCAGUGGGGAAUAUUGGGCAAUGGGCGCAAGCCUGAUCCAGCAAUACCGCGUGGGUGAAGAAGGCCUUCGGGUUGUAAAGCCCUUUUGUUGGGAAAGAACAGAAGCAGGUUAAUACCCCGCUGUUCUGACGGUACCCAAAGAAUAAGCACCGGCUAACUUCGUG